GAUGAACGCUGGCGGCGUGCCUAAUACAUGCAAGUCGAGCGAACAGACGAGGAGCUUGCUCCUCUGACGUUAGCGGCGGACGGGUGAGUAACACGUGGAUAACCUACCUAUAAGACUGGGAUAACUUCGGGAAACCGGAGCUAAUACCGGAUAAUAUAUUGAACCGCAUGGUUCAAUAGUGAAAGACGGUUUUGCUGUCACUUAUAGAUGGAUCCGCGCCGCAUUAGCUAGUUGGUAAGGUAACGGCUUACCAAGGCGACGAUGCGUAGCCGACCUGAGAGGGUGAUCGGCCACACUGGAACUGAGACACGGUCCAGACUCCUACGGGAGGCAGCAGUAGGGAAUCUUCCGCAAUGGGCGAAAGCCUGACGGAGCAACGCCGCGUGAGUGAUGAAGGUCUUCGGAUCGUAAAACUCUGUUAUUAGGGAAGAACAAAUGUGUAAGUAACUAUGCACGUCUUGAUGGUACCUAAUCAGAAAGCCACGGUUAACUACGUG
rnacentral:rRNA from 1 species